AUUACAUCUUUUCAAUAUUUGCUAGACAGUUAUGAAUUAUUGUUUUAUAAUUACAUUAUUUUCAAAGUUAGUAAUUUCAUGGCUCGACUCAAAACAAGUGAAAUAAAUUUUUUUUCGAUUAGAUUACUGAUAGCUGAUCUAAAAUUGGGCACAUUUCGACUAUGAUUGUACGGCGGUAAAUAAUUUCGCAGUUAUCAUCAAUUACUUAAACCGCAUCUUACCUGUUAUUAAAAACAACACUAUAUUAAUUGUAUACUUACACUUUUAUUCAUGCAGAGAGUAGAUCAAGCUAUUCAGUAAAGAAACGAACGUUAAAAUAUAGAUACACAAUAGGGGAUGUAGAAUUGAAGUCAAGUCAUCCGACAAUAGUUAUGAUGUCAUAUGAAGCACUGCCUACAACGUAGAACUUUGAAUAAAAUGCAAAAAUCAACAUUAACUGAUAACAUUUUAAUUAUUUGUAAUGACAGAAAAUACAUUAUUAAAAAAAGCACCAAGAUUAGUUCAAUCAAUUUUAUAGGAGGCAUGUCAAGUACCUUCAAUAUACAAAUAAGGAGAUGUGGUAUUAUUGCAUAUGAGACAAUUUACCGCCAGAAACCAAAAUACAAGGUCUUUCCAAAUUUAUAAUAUUUAUUGCUUAAUAUAAAGUUAAUUAGGUCAUACCACUAUUCAACCAUUGCGUUUCGUAUCCUUUAAAUUAUUAGCAAACUAGAAUCCACAUUAAAACAAAACUUUAUUUUCUAUUUAUGAUUCUGCAUUGACGUGAAGAUUAUGUCAGGGUAAUACAGUAAAGUUAUGUCACUGUAUCUCAUGUAUCUAUUGGUUUUUUUUUUUAUAAGCAUGACUUUGCUUCCGACAUAGGAUUUUAGAACUUUGGGAUUGAAUAUACUCGGGGUAAGUACUUGUACGUGCAGUUUGUUUCAAUUACAAUCGAAUUGUAUAAUCUGUCAUUUUGAUUAAUAACAUAUUGUAGCAUAGUCAUUCAUGUCCUUUUUAAAUCCUUUAACAUUUAGCAAAACCCAUAACACAUCAAACGUCUUACAUGUAUAUGCAUUGAAACAAUUGACAUCUGUUAUACAUGAAAUAUUGUAAUAAUGUUGGUAUGAGUAUUAAUACCAGUAUAAUUUGUUUGAAAGCCCACUAUACCAAUAUACCUAGAAAAAAAGCCACGAGAAAACUACGCAUAAACAACGGACACUCAUAUAUAAGCAUGAUAGACAACAGCAGAAUAUACUUAGCCUUCAACAUUCAAUAUUCAUGGUUUGGGAUGAAAAAACGAUAACAGAUAAGCGACAGUAAAAUGAGUAAAGAAGAGUUACAUUCACUGUUAUUUUUGUUGAAAUAUUGAUGACGUCGACAAUUCCAAUUUUGAUUUUAUUAAAUGGAGAUUCUGAUAAACUACAAAAUUGUUGUUCAAAUUUGAAUAAUUUAAAAUCUUUUAUUUUCACGCAGUGCCUUCCCUUGAUAUGAUCACAAAACUGGUAGGAAGAAAGAUGAUUAUGAUUUUCAAACUGAGUUUCCAUUAUAUGAUGAGCAAAAAAAA
rnacentral:lncRNA from 1 species